UACCGGAUGGCAUAAUUAUUCCGCAUGGGAUAAUUAUUAAAGAAUUUCGGUUGUCGAUGGGGAUGCGUUCCAUUAGGCAGUUGGCGGGGUAACGGCCCACCAAGCCUACGAUGGAUAGGGGUUCUGAGAGGAAGGUCCCCCACAUUGGAACUGAGACACGGUCCAAACUCCUACGGGAGGCAGCAGUGAGGAAUAUUGGUCAAUGGACGAGAGUCUGAACCAGCCAAGUAGCGUGAAGGAUGACUGCCCUAUGGGUUGUAAACUUCUUUUAUACGGGAAUAAAGUGAGCCACGUGUGGCUUUUUGUAUGUACCGUAUGAAUAAGGAUCGGCUAACUCCGUGCCAGCAGCCGCGGUAAUACGGAGGAUCCGAGCGUUAUCCGGAUUUAUUGGGUUUAAAGGGAGCGUAGGCGGGUUGUUAAGUCAGUUGUGAAAGUUUGCGGCUCAACCGUAAAAUUGCAGUUGAUACUGGCGACCUUGAGUGCAACAGAGGUAGGCGGAAUUCGUGGUGUAGCGGUGAAAUGCCUAGAUAUCACGAAGAACUCCGAUUGCGAAGGCAGCUUACUGGAUUGUAACUGACGCCGAUGCUC
rnacentral:rRNA from 1 species